AGCAUGCCUAGCUGGUAUUAGCACGAGUGAUAAACAAGGGACAACAUGGAAAAUGGAGGAGGAGAACAAAAGUGUUAGUCUGACCGAAGGUAAUAAUGGACUGAGAAAGAUUUUCAACGCAUCGGGGAGACAGAAAUCCAAAGUGUGGAAAGUUUUUGGGUUUUAUAAGAAGGGAAGCUCGACAGAAGCCAUGCUAUUUGUAAAUCGUUGACGUACACUGGCAGCACUACAAAUCUCGACCAGCAUGCAAAGAGGAAACACGGCCAAGAGUACGGUGAGUUAAAACCCCGUGCCAACGAGCAGGAGUGUGCAGCAAGCAGUAGCACACAGACAGGGAGCAGCACCAUUCCUGACGGACCAUGAUGCUGAGCGGACGUUCACAAGCAUAACCGCAGAAGCAACAUCCCUGCAUAACAAGGCAACAGGGGAUCCAGUCCAGAGAGGUCCACUGCAAACAAAUCCAUGUCAGACUGAACCUACCCAUGGAGAUCUGGACAUCAGCAUUGAUCCACCCCAGAACCAGGAAGAGCCAGAUGCUGAAAGCCGUGCACAGCAGCUGAUUUAUGAAAGUACGCCUCCAUGCCACCCAACACUGGAUGAUCAGAUCAUCAGCCUGCAGAAACAAAUCACGCUCAGGAAUGGGAAAUAGGGGUAAAUAAAGGAGAAAGACUGUGUCAGAAGUAAUAUCCAAUUCAAGCAUGAUGGAAGAGGGGAUACAAUCUCACAAUUCGAAGGUCCUGAUAGACGCGUGCUUGCUAGACGUGCUAACUAGCAUGGGAAUACGUCGACGGCUACAUCCAGCGGCCAGUGAAGCAGGUAUAGUAGCAGCGGGGGCCGUCUACGGAGCAGACACCAGCGGUGUGAUCGGAAACGCGGAUGUCGAGCGGGGCUAAAAACAAAGCAGAAGGCUAAUCCCCACAGAACACCACUUCCCUCCAUCCUGAAGCCGGAUUUAAAUGGAAGAUGCGAGACUACUGGUCUGGCUCAGCUCCUUCUUUACCACAACGGAUUGAUCAUAUCCACAUCACUGCAGACACCGCACCGAUCUGCCUGUCGAUCUCACGAUCCACUCUUCCCUCACUCGUGAACAAGACCCCGAGGUACUUGAACUCCUCCACUUUUUUUGUAAACGUUAGUUGUUUUUUUCGUUGGUUGGUGUAAUGAUUAAUUAUUUGUCAGGGAACUACAUUUGUUAGCAUAAAAGUUCACAAUUGUCUUGACACUACUUCGUAAGCAAAAAAAUAGGAUCAUAAGAAUGACUGAUUAAAAAAAAAAAGAAAGAAAAUAUAUAUUUAUAAAGUAAAAUGAAAAUAUCUUUAAUACAUACUAAUUAGAAAAUUAUUAUUGCAGUAAUUUAACACUAAAUAAUAAGAAUGAAAGUCAUACUUUUUGGGGAGCGCUCAAUGACAUUUCUGAAUGUUUUAUCCAUCCAUCCAUUUACUACCGCUUAUUCCCUUUUUGGGGUCGCGGGGGCUGGCGCCUAUCUCAGCUACAAUUGGGCAGAAGGCGGCGUACACCCUGGACAAGUCGCCACCUCAUUGCAGGGCCAACACAAAUAGAAAGACAACAUUCACACUCACUGUAUUUUUGUUAUUCACACGCGAACAAUGCUGCACAACAGACCGCACCUAUGUCAUUCACAUGUGAAUAAUGCUGUAUAAUAGACUGUAUUCAUAUCAUUCACAUGUGAGUGUUCCAGUCUUCAAUAAAGAGAUAGUAAUGUUUACAUUGAAAAACAAACUACAGUGCAUUUUUCUUUUUGUAUUUAUUGUACUUUUCGUACAAAAUCCUAAAAUGAUACACUACUACAUUACAUUGCAUUAUUGAUCAAGUUUUUUUUUGUUUUCCUUUAUUCCUUAUUAGCAAAAUUGGUUUUUUGCCAAAGACAGACUUUUAUGCGGCCUUGCACAAUACCAUACACUGUACUGAAUUUUUCGGAUUAUAGGUCGUGAGUAUACGUCGCACCGGCCGAAAAUGCAUAAUAAAGACGGAAAAAAACAUAUAUACGUCGCACUGGAGUAUCCAUCCAUCCAUUUUCUACCGCUUAUUCCCUUUGGGGUCACGGGGAGCGCUGGUGCCUAUCUCAGCUACAAUCAGGCGGAAGGCGGGGUACACCCUGGACAACUCGCAACCUCAUCGCAGGGCCAACACAGAUAGACAGACAACAUUCACACUCACAUUCACACACUACAAGUCGCAUUUUUGGGGGAAAUUUAUUUGAUAAAAUCCAACACCAAGAAUAGACAUUUGAAAGGCAAUUUAAAAUAAAUAAAGAAUAGUGAACAACAGGUUGAAUAAGUGUACGUUAUAUGACACAUAAAUAACCAACGGAGAACGUUCCUGGUAUGUUAACGUAACAUAUUAUGGUAAGAGUCAUUCAAAUAACUAUAACAUAUAGAACAUGCUAUACGUUUACCAAACAAUCUGUCACUCCUAAUCGAUAAAUCCCAUGAAAUCUUCUUCUUCGAUGUCGCUUCUUAAAUACUCUACCAACUCCAAAGGUAUGCGCCGCUUUCUCUUGUCGUUUUCUGCUGCAUAUUUCACUACUUCCAGCUUGUAAUCUGCAGUACAUGAUUUCCUUUUCGAUGCCAUUUUUGUUCAGCCCUUCUCAGUUUUUUAAGUUACCGCCAACGAUGAAAUGAUCCAGUUUAUGAGCUACGGCAGCAGCAUAUAGCAGUUAGCAUUCCAUCAGCCACAAUACACUUCUACUAUGGCCAUCCCCCGCCAAAUUCUUAUUGGUUGACGUGUGUGUGACGAUGGCUAACAUUUUCUUCGUCUCUUCCGCGAAUGAGAAAAAAAUAAUAUUAUUUGAUAUUUUACGGUAAUGUGUUAAUAAUUUCACACAAAAGUCACUCUGGAGUAUAUGUCGCACCCCCGGCCAAAGUAUGAAAAAAACUGUGACAUAUAGUCCGAAAAAUACAAUAUCAAUUGAAUUGAGUUCUGUGAUUUGGGGAUUGCCCAUAUAAGUAAAAUACUUUAGUUCUCAAUUUCAUCCAUUCAUCAUUCGACCCAUCCAUUUUUUACCGCUUGUCCUUCUAUGGGAGCCUAUCCCAGCUGAAGUCGGACGCUCUUGAUGGAAAUAAUCCACCCAUUUAUAUGAUGAAUCAUUUUACAUUAGCAUCUAUAAAGACUCGGUAGUGAAUGGUAAAGUAUGUGACUAUGUGUUAUAUAUGGACGGGAGAGGAAGCAGGUCACAUUCCCUGUGGAGACCCACUGGGGGAUCAUAUUCAAUGCUCUUUAUAUGCACAGUUACUCCCUUCAUGUCGGAUCUCCAUCGCUCUCUCUUCUUUCUCUAUUCAUCUUUUUCUAUUUUUUUUUCCAUGCACAGAGCCCCCUGCUCACUUUCUGCCUCUCCAGCUCUCUUACACUGUAAAAAAAACAACAGACUUUGAUAUACUGUGUUUCUUCCUUCUCUCCUGGCUUUCCCGCUGAUACAGGCGCCUUGGACAGAGGCAAUAAAAAAAGAUGAGAGGUGCGUUAAAUGGUUGCUAAACAAGGUACACAUACAUAAUAAGGUACAGUCUUCUGUAUAAUAUUCAUUACGAUAUAUGAGGUGCCGACUUGUCCAGGGUGUACGCUGCCUUCCGCCUGAUUGUAGCUGAGAUAGGCACCAGUGCCCCCCGUGACUCCAAACGGAAUAAGCGGUAGAAAUGGAUGGAUGGAUGGAUUUGUGUUUAUAUUUCCACAGGCCACUCCUUCCCCUCUUCCUCAGGGCAAGUAUCACACUGUUGUUUGAAAAUGUCACUCAAACUCUACUAAUUCAUCCAUGGUGUCAUGUCUCUUUUUUAACCACACCUCCUCAAGCCCUGCUGUUUUGGAAAUGCUGAAGGCGGGCGGCGGUUGCUCAUCGUUGUGGCGCCAGACAGGAAGCAGCUGCCCUGCUGUGCAGGAAAUGGACAAUAAGGGACAAAGCGGGCUUCAGGCAUCGACGACAAGACAAUAAGUGAGCGUAGGUCAGUGCGGAGACAAUAUGAAUACACUUGACUGCAGUUAACAUGUAGCAUUAAGGGACAAGCGAGAAAUUAGUAGCAUGUACGCAAAAGUAGUGCACUUUAGUUAGAAGAGCUACAAUAUAAAUGUGACUUUUCCUUUCAUAAAAUCGUAUGCAACCACCGCUGGAAAAUUAUGCAUUUAUUCAGCAUGUUGAUGGACACCUGUUGAAUAAAAAAAAAUAUUGUGAGUGUGAA